rnacentral:rRNA from 1 species
GAUCUGGGCACUGUCUCGGAGAGAGGCUCGGUGAAAUAGACAUGUCUGUGAAGAUGCGGACUACCUGCACCUGGACAGAAAGACCCUAUGAAGCUUUACUGUUCCCUGGGAUUGGCUUUGGGCCUUUCCUGCGCAGCUUAUGUGGAGGGCGAAGAAAGCCCCCUUCCGGGGGGGCCCGAGCCAUCAGUGAGAUACCACUCUGGAAGAGCUAGAAUUCUAACCUUGUGUCAGACCUACGGGCCAAGGACAGUCUCAGUAGACAGUUUCUAUGGGGCGUAGCCUCCCAAAAGUAACGGAGCGUGCAAAGUUUCCUCGGGCCGGACGAGAUGCCCUCGAC